CCAAAAUUACGGCGGUGUAGCAGACCGUGGACCAUGCGUCUUCGGCAUGGUCAACGCGACCACAGGGGAGCUGCGACUUUCCAAGGUCGACCGACGAGCCGCGGCGACGCUAUACCCCAUUAAUGCAGGCAAUGUUCAACCGGGGCCCAUUAUUCACAGUGACGAAUGGGCCGCAUACAAUGGUAUCCCAAAUUUAGUGGAUGCUAACGGGCCGAGCCUCAAUUUGCAUUGGGAGACAAAACCAGCCAGCAG
rnacentral:lncRNA from 1 species